rnacentral:tRNA from 6 species
GCCGAGGUGGUGGAACUGGCAGACACACUAGCUUUAGGAGCUAGCGUCCGAAAGGACAUGGGAGUUCAAAUCUCCCCCUCGGCACCA